rnacentral:lncRNA from 1 species
AUUUUCUUUGUCUUCACAGCAUAGCUAGGCAAGACUGUCCUGUUUAAAUAAGACUUUGGUGAUGCCAUAAGAAAAGAUUUGUCUACAAAUAUUUGUAUCAUUUAACAAAUACUUAUUGGUGCCAGUGUUUGUGCUAGGGUUAGAGAUCUAUUAGUGAACAAAAUAGACACAGUAUCUGCCUUCCUAGUACUACUCCAGGACUCAUCAAUACAAAAUGAUACCAAUUGGAUAAUCUUGAUUACAAUACAUGGCUUGCUUACUAUCCUGCGUUCUAACAUAUAGAUCUUUUCUCGUUUCUGGCCUUCUUCCAGGUGUUGGAACCUGCCUUACUCAUCCUUGACUAUGUGGAUAUCCACUUUCCUCAAAAUCCAAGCCUAAGAGAGAAAGUGCCAGACUUGCUCUUCCUGCAGCCUCCAUGAGUCAGCCUCAUUGGGCCUACUUUCCUCUUUGGAGACAUUUUACUUCUGUAGGCGGACUUUCUCUACUCACAGAAACCACCUCCCAAAUAACAAAGAGGAGGGAACAGAAAACCACAAACACUUUCCUCAAUGAUACUAAGAGAUGCCCAGUACCUGAACCAACCAUCUUUGAGUUGCCAAAGAUGAGGAAGGCGAUGCUGGCACAGAGAAUUGUGACAAGAAGACAGCUAGUCCCAGAAAGGCUUGGAAUAACCACAGGAGAACUGAGCCAAAGUGGCUUCAGACUUAGGACCCAGGCAAAGUAG